rnacentral:rRNA from 1 species
GAUGAACGCUGGCUACAGGCUUAACACAUGCAAGUCGAGGGGAAACGGCAUUGAGUGCUUGCACUGAAUGGACGUCGACCGGCGCACGGGUGAGUAACGCGUAUCCAACCUUCCCGUUACUGCGGGAUAACCUGCCGAAAGGCAGACUAAUACCGCAUGUUCUUCGAUGACGGCAUCAGAUUCGAAGCAAAGAUCCGUCGGUAACGGAGGGGGAUGCGUCUGAUUAGCUGGUUGGCGGGGCGACGGCCCACCAAGGCGACGAUCAGUAGGGGUUCUGAGAGGAAGGUCCCCCACAUUGGAACUGAGACACGGUCCAAACUCCUACGGGAGGCAGCAGUGAGGAAUAUUGGUCAAUGGGCGGAAGCCUGAACCAGCCAAGUAGCGUGCAGGAGGACGGCCCUACGGGUUGUAAACUGCUUUUAUGCGGGGAUAAAGUGAGGGACGCGUCCCUUUUUGCAGGUACCGCAUGAAUAAGGACCGGCUAAUUCCGUGCCAGCAGCCGCGGUAAUACGGAAGGUCCGGGCGUUAUCCGGAUUUAUUGGGUUUAAAGGGAGCGUAGGCCGGGGAUUAAGUGUGUUGUGAAAUGUAGGCGCCCAACGUCUGACUUGCAGCGCAUACUGGUUCCCUUGAGUACGCGCAACGCCGGCGGAAUUCGUCGUGUAGCGGUGAAAUGCUUAGAUAUGACGAAGAACCCCGAUUGCGAAGGCAGCCGGCGGGAGCGCAACUGACGCUGAAGCUCGAAGGUGCGGGUAUCGAACAGG